GCCCGGGAACGUAUUCACCGUGGCAUUCUGAUCCACGAUUACUAGCGAUUCCGACUUCACGGAGUCGAGUUGCAGACUCCGAUCCGGACUACGACAUACUUUCUGGGAUUCGCUCCACCUCGCGGUCUUGCUGCCCUCUGUAUAUGCCAUUGUAGCACGUGUGUAGCCCUACUCGUAAGGGCCAUGAUGACUUGACGUCGUCCCCACCUUCCUCCGGUUUAUCACCGGCAGUCUCCCUGGAGUUCCCACCCGAAGUGCUGGCAAACAAGGAUAAGGGUUGCGCUCGUUGCGGGACUUAACCCAACAUUUCACAACACGAGCUGACGACAGCCAUGCAGCACCUGUCUCAGAGUUCCCGAAGGCACACUCGAAUCUCUUCAAGCUUCUCUGGAUGUCAAGAGUAGGUAAGGUUCUUCGCGUUGCAUCGAAUUAAACCACAUGCUCCACCGCUUGUGCGGGCCCCCGUCAAUUCAUUUGAGUUUUAAUCUUGCGACCGUACUCCCCAGGCGGUCUACUUAACGCGUUAGCUCCGAAAGCCACGGCUCAAGGCCACAACCUCCAAGUAGACAUCGUUUACGGCGUGGACUACCAGGG
rnacentral:rRNA from 1 species